rnacentral:rRNA from 1 species
GAGUUUGAUCAUGGCUCAGGACGAACGCUGGCGGCGUGCCUAAUACAUGCAAGUCGAACGAAUUGGUGCUUGCAUCAUUGAGUGGCGAACUGGUGAGUAACACGUGGGAAACCUGCCCAGAAGCGGGGGAUAACACCUGGAAACAGAUGCUAAUACCGCAUAACAACUUGACCGCAUGGUCCGAGUUGAAAGAUGUUCGUAUCACUUUUGGAUGGUCCCGCGGCGUAUUAGCUAGAUGGUGGGGUAACGGCUCACCAUGGCAAUGAUACGUAGCCGACCUGAGAGGGUAAUCGGCCACAUUGGGACUGAGACACGGCCCAAACUCCUACGGGAGGCAGCAGUAGGGAAUCUUCCACAAUGGGCGAAAGUCUGAUGGAGCAACGCCGCGUGAGUGAAGAAAGGUUUCGGCUCGUAAAACUCUGUUGUUAAAGAAGAACGUAUCUGAGGUAAUUCAGGUAUUGACGGUAUUUAACCAGAAAGCCACGGCUAACUACGUGCCAGCAGCCGCGGUAAUACGUAUGUGGCAAGCGCUGUCCGGAUUUAUGGGC